rnacentral:lncRNA from 1 species
UCCAAAGUAAUUGAUUCAUAAACUAUAAACUAGUUUCGUAGGACACAUCAUCCCGACAUGUUCAAAUAGAUCAGAUCCAAGUGCAUCAAGAAUCAAAAGCUGUUAUCAAUUGAACGUUGAAAUUCACCUCGUUACUUCAGAUGUCGAGAUUUUCCAUAUUAACUUUGAAAUAGCUGGCUCUCAAUGAAAUGUCUAAGGUUGUAGUCUUCCCAGUCAUUAACGCACCACACAAACGAAGGAAACAUAAGGUGAAGAAACUAACCAAGAGCGCGUGAGGACCCAGCUAAACAGCCCCGCCUUAGCUUCUAAAUCCGGGCUUGAACUCAACACCACACACCGUUUCGUAACAUCUCCCACAACAUGCACAACAAACAAACCAAGCAAACUACCAACAAAGGAUCAAGCGACCCACAAUCGGCACUGGAAUAUAAAUUACUAACCCG